AUCCUUUUGGAUUUCUCCUCUAACCAUUUCAGAUUCUUCCAAUCUUAUUAUUUUCUGAAAUAUUGUAAUAUUUUUUCGACGACAAUCUUAUGAAUCUGCAUAUCAGAUCGGCCCUUGAGGUAAGGAGGCGCCCCUCUUCUAUUGCCCAGGCUUGGACUUCAUGGAGGGUCUCGGGUGUGACGGGGGUUCGUGAUGUACAUGGGACAUGGUGUCUCUUUGCGUAUGCUGAUGCUCUUUGCGUAUGCUGAUGCUGAUGUAUCUGGGGGAGCGAAAUGCUCGGGUUUUUCGGGGCGCGUCCAACGACCUCGCUCGGCUGCGGGAACUCUGUACUUUCCACCUCGAUGAGUGGAUGAGCCGACUAGGUGAGAAGGACCGGACCAUGGUGGCAGCUCCAAUGCGAAACUUUUUGUGAAUCACGGUGUGGCUUGUGGACUAUUUUUUCCUUCUUCCGUUUUCUUUCUUCUUUUCUUUUUUCAUUCGACA
rnacentral:misc_RNA from 1 species